rnacentral:rRNA from 1 species
GGAGGAAGAGAAAGAAAAUUCGAUUCCCUUAGUAGCGGCGAGCGAAACGGGAAGAGCCCAAACCAACAAGCUUGCUUGUUGGGGUUGUAGGACACUCUAUACGGAGUUACAAAGGACGACAUUAGACGAAUCAUCUGGAAAGAUGAAUCAAAGAAGGUAAUAAUCCUGUAGUCGAAAAUGUUGUCUCUCUUGAGUGGAUCCUGAGUACGACGGAGCACGUGAAAUUCCGUCGGAAUCUGGGAGGACCAUCUCCUAAGGCUAAAUACUCUCUAGUGACCGAUAGUGAACCAGUACCGUGAGGGAAAGGUGAAAAGCACCCCGGAAGGGGAGUGAAAUAGAACCUGAAACCGUGUGCUUACAAGUAGUCAGAGCCCGUUAAUGGGUGAUGGCGUGCCUUUUGUAGAAUGAACCGGCGAGUUACGAUUUGAUGCAAGGUUAAGCAGUAAAUGUGGAGCCGUAGCGAAAGCGAGUCUGAAUAGGGCGUUUAGUAUUUGGUCGUAGACCCGAAACCAGGUGAUCUACCCUUGGUCAGGUUGAAGUUCAGGUAACACUGAAUGGAGGACCGAACCGACUUACGUUGAAAAGUGAGCGGAUGAACUGAGGGUAGCGGAGAAAUUCCAAUCGAACCUGGAGAUAGCUGGUUCUCUCCGAAAUAGCUUUAGGGCUAGCCUCAAGUGAUGAUUAUUGGAGGUAGAGCACUGUUUGGACGAGGGGCCCCUCUCGGGUUACCGAAUUCAGACAAACUCCGAAUGCCAAUUAAUUUAACUUGGGAGUCAGAACAUGGGUGAUAAGGUCCGUGUUCGAAAGGGAAACAGCCCAGACCACCAGCUAAGGUCCCAAAAUAUAUGUUAAGUGGAAAAGGAUGUGGCGUUGCCCAGACAACUAGGAUGUUGGCUUAGAAGCAGCCAUCAUUUAAAGAGUGCGUAAUAGCUCACUAGUCGAGUGACACUGCGCCGAAAAUGUACCGGGGCUAAACAUAUUACCGAAGCUGUGGAUUGUCCUUUGGACAAUGGUAGGAGAGCGUUCUAAGGGCGUUGAAGCAUGAUCGUAAGGACAUGUGGAGCGCUUAGAAGUGAGAAUGCCGGUGUGAGUAGCGAAAGACGGGUGAGAAUCCCGUCCACCGAUUGACUAAGGUUUCCAGAGGAAGGCUCGUCCGCUCUGGGUUAGUCGGGUCCUAAGCUGAGGCCGACAGGCGUAGGCGAUGGAUAACAGGUUGAUAUUCCUGUACCACCUAUAAUCGUUUUAAUCGAUGGGGGGACGCAGUAGGAUAGGCGAAGCGUGCGAUUGGAUUGCACGUCUAAGCAGUAAGGCUGAGUAUUAGGCAAAUCCGGUACUCGUUAAGGCUGAGCUGUGAUGGGGAGAAGACAUUGUGUCUUCGAGUCGUUGAUUUCACACUGCCGAGAAAAGCCUCUAGAUAGAAAAUAGGUGCCCGUACCGCAAACCGACACAGGUAGUCAAGAUGAGAAUUCUAAGGUGAGCGAGCGAACUCUCGUUAAGGAACUCGGCAAAAUGACCCCGUAACUUCGGGAGAAGGGGUGCUCUUUAGGGUUAACGCCCAGAAGAGCCGCAGUGAAUAGGCCCAAGCGACUGUUUAUCAAAAACACAGGUCUCUGCUAAACCGUAAGGUGAUGUAUAGGGGCUGACGCCUGCCCGGUGCUGGAAGGUUAAGAGGAGUGGUUAGCUUCUGCGAAGCUACGAAUCGAAGCCCCAGUAAACGGCGGCCGUAACUAUAACGGUCCUAAGGUAGCGAAAUUCCUUGUCGGGUAAGUUCCGACCCGCACGAAAGGCGUAACGAUUUGGGCACUGUCUCAACGAGAGACUCGGUGAAAUCAUAGUACCUGUGAAGAUGCAGGUUACCCGCGACAGGACGGAAAGACCCCGUGGAGCUUUACUGUAGCCUGAUAUUGAAAUUCGGCACAGCUUGUACAGGAUAGGUAGGAGCCUUUGAAACGUGAGCGCUAGCUUACGUGGAGGCGCUGGUGGGAUACUACCCUAGCUGUGUUGGCUUUCUAACCCGCACCACUUAUCGUGGUGGGAGACAGUGUCAGGCGGGCAGUUUGACUGGGGCGGUCGCCUCCUAAAAGGUAACGGAGGCGCUCAAAGGUUCCCUCAGAAUGGUUGGAAAUCAUUCAUAGAGUGUAAAGGCAUAAGGGAGCUUGACUGCGAGACCUACAAGUCGAGCAGGGUCGAAAGACGGACUUAGUGAUCCGGUGGUUCCGCAUGGAAGGGCCAUCGCUCAACGGAUAAAAGCUACCCCGGGGAUAACAGGCUUAUCUCCCCCAAGAGUUCACAUCGACGGGGAGGUUUGGCACCUCGAUGUCGGCUCAUCGCAUCCUGGGGCUGUAGU